ensembl:snoRNA LOC120095454 small nucleolar RNA SNORA17
CCUGCCCCUAGAGGCAUUGCAGUGGCUGCUGGGUCCCAAGUGCGUCAGAAGGUGGCAGAGAGGAGAGAGGCUAUGUUUAUGCUCAGUGUUCUUGUUCCCUCUGUCUCCUACAAUCUCUUCCC